rnacentral:piRNA from 1 species
UGCUGGAAAAAUUCCCAUGUGUCAGCCC